GAUGAAGAACGUAUCGAAAUGCGAUAAGUAGUGUGAAUUGCAGAAUUCAGUGAAUCAUCGAAUCUUUGAACGCACAUUGCGCCCCUUGGUAUUCCAUGGGGCAUGCCUGUUCGAGCGUCAUUUGUACCUUCAAGCUCUGCUUGGUGUUGGGUGUUUGUCUCGCCUCUGCGUGUAGACUCGCCUUAAAACAAUUGGCAGCCGGCGUAUUGAUUUCGGAGCGCAGUACAUCUCGCGCUUUGCACUCAUAACGACGACGUCCAAAAGUACAUUUUUACACUCUUGACCUCGGAUCAGGUAGGGAUACCCGCUGAACUUAAGCAUAUCAUAAGCGGAGGA
rnacentral:misc_RNA from 1 species